AUACGUAGGGGGCGAGCGUUGUCCGGAAUGAUUGGGCGUAAAGGGCGCGUAGGCGGCGCGGUAAGUCUGGAGUGAAAGUCCUGCUUUCAAGGUGGGAAUUGCUUUGGAUACUGCCGCGCUUGAGUGCAGGAGAGGUUAUUGGAAUUCCCGGUGUAGCGGUGAAAUGCGUAGAGAUCGGGAGGAACACCAGUGGCGAAGGCGGGUAACUGGGCUGCAACUGACGCUGAGGCGCGAAAGUGUGGGGAGCAAACAGGAUUAGAUACCCUGGUAGUCCACACUGUAAACGAUGAAUGCUAGGUGUAAGAGGUAUCGAGCCCUUUUGUGCCGGAGUCAACACAAUAAGCAUUCCGCCUGGGGAGUACGGCCGCAAGGUUGAAACUCAAAUGAAUUGACGGGG
rnacentral:rRNA from 1 species